CAGUAGCCGCGGUAAUACGUAGGGUGCAAGCGUUAAUCGGAAUUACUGGGCGUAAAGCGUGCGCAGGCGGUUUUGUAAGUCUGUCGUGAAAUCCCCGGGCUCAACCUGGGAAUGGCGAUGGAGACUGCAAGGCUAGAAUCUGGCAGAGGGGGGUAGAAUUCCACGCGUAGCAGUGAAAUGCGUAGAUAUGUGGAGGAACACCGAUGGCGAAGGCAGCCCCCUGGGCUAAGAUUGACGCUCAUGCACGAAAGCGUGGGGAGCAAACAGGAUUAGAUACCCCUGUAGUCCCUGUCUCUUAUAC
rnacentral:rRNA from 1 species